rnacentral:rRNA from 1 species
GACGAACGCUGGCGGCGUGCUUAACACAUGCCAGUCGAACGGAAAGGCCCUGCUUUUGUGGGGUGCUCGAGUGGCGAACGGGUGAGUAACACGUGAGUAACCUGCCCUUGACUUUGGGAUAACUUCAGGAAACUGGGGCUAAUACCGGAUAGGAGCUCCUGCUGCAUGGUGGGGGUUGGAAAGUUUCGGCGGUUGGGGAUGGACUCGCGGCUUAUCAGCUUGUUGGUGGGGUAGUGGCUUACCAAGGCUUUGACGGGUAGCCGGCCUGAGAGGGUGACCGGCCACCUUGGGACUGCGAUACGGCCCAGAGUCCUACGGGAGGCAGCAGUGGGGAAUAUUGCACAAUGGGCGGAAGCCUGAUGCAGCAACGCCGCGUGCGGGAUGACGGCCUUCGGGUUGUAAACCGCUUUCGCCUGUGACGAAGCGUGAGUGACGGUAAUGGGUAAAGAAGCACCGGCUAACUACGUG